rnacentral:rRNA from 1 species
GCGAGCAUGCGAGUGUGAGCGAAUCUCAAAAAUAAACGUCUCAGUUCGGAUUGUAGUCUGCAACUCGACUACAUGAAGCUGGAAUCGCUAGUAAUCGCGGAUCAGAAUGCCGCGGUGAAUACGUUCCCGGGUCUUGUACACACCGCCCGUCACACCAUGGGAGUCAGUAACGCCCGAAGCCGGUGACCCAACCUAAACAGGGAGGGAGCCGUCGAAGGCGGGACGGAUGACUGGGGUGAAGUCGUAACAAGGUAAC